CCGGCCCCAAUCAAGACCAGCAGCUUGCAGUAGCUGCUGGUUUCAAAGGGUGCCUAGAUGAGCUCCUUCCUGUGGUCUGUUGAUUUUUUCCCAGAGUUACAAAGGGGCUAAUCGAUUCAGUUGGAAGGAACAAAA
ensembl:snoRNA small nucleolar RNA SNORA2/SNORA34 family